GACGCUGGCGGCGUGCUUAACACAUGCAAGUCGGAACGGAAAGGCCCUGCUUUUGUGGGGUGCUCGAGUGGCGAACGGGUGAGUAACACGUGAGUAACCUGCCCUUGACUUUGGGAUAACUUCAGGAAACUGGGGCUAAUACCGGAUAGGAGCUCCUGCUGCAUGGUGGGGGUUGGAAAGUUUCGGCGGUUGGGGAUGGACUCGCGGCUUAUCAGCUUGUUGGUGGGGUAGUGGCUUACCAAGGCUUUGACGGGUAGCCGGCCUGAGAGGGUGACCGGCCACAUUGGGACUGAGAUACGGCCCAGACUCCUACGGGAGGCAGCAGUGGGGAAUAUUGCACAAUGGGCGGAAGCCUGAUGCAGCAACGCCGCGUGCGGGAUGACGGCCUUCGGGUUGUAAACCGCUUUCGCCUGUGACGAAGCGUGAGUGACGGUAAUGGGUAAAGAAGCACCGGCUAACUACGUG
rnacentral:rRNA from 1 species